CGUAGGUGAACCUGCGGAAGGAUCAUUACCGAGUUGAUUCGGGCUCCGGCCCGAUCCUCCCACCCUUUGUGUACCUACCUCUGUUGCUUUGGCGGGCCGCGGUCCUCCGCGGCCGGCCCCCCUCCCCGGGGGGUGGCCAGCGCCCGCCAGAGGACCAUCAAACUCCAGUCAGUAAACGAUGCAGUCUGAAAAACAUUUAAUAAACUAAAACUUUCAACAACGGAUCUCUUGGUUCUGGCAUCGAUGAAGAACGCAGCGAAAUGCGAUAAGUAAUGUGAAUUGCAGAAUUCAGUGAAUCAUCGAAUCUUUGAACGCACAUUGCGCCCUUUGGUAUUCCGAAGGGCAUGCCUGUUCGAGCGUCAUUACAACCCUCAAGCUCUGCUUGGUAUUGGGCACCGUCCUUUGCGGGCGCGCCUCAAAGACCUCGGCGGUGGCGUCUUGCCUCAAGCGUAGUAGAACAUACAUCUCGCUUCGGAGCGCAGGGCGUCGCCCGCCGGACGAACCUUCUGAACUUUUCUCAAGGUUGACCUCGGAUCAGGUAGG
rnacentral:rRNA from 1 species